CUUGAUCAAGCAGUGCAGAAGUAGUAUUUUGAGUAAAGGAUGGCUAGUUCCUUGUCCUCCCAGAAAAUCUAUUUCUUGGUGGUUGAGAAUGUACCAGAUGAUCUAGCUAUGAAGCAGGAUGCAAGGAAGGAAAAGGCAUAUAAAAUGAAUCAUAUGUAUUUGAAAAACAACAGAAUGCAAAUCAAGGCAACAUAAAUUAAAGAGAGAGGGAGAGAAAGUUACUCCAGGGGCUUUAUUCCCCUCCCCCCACAGGAUACAAGCUAUUUCCUUUGACUUUUGCAAUAGUAAUUUCAGAAUUCUACUUCUGGCACAGUCUGAACUGAUGUAUUUUCAGCACUUGGCAAGAAGACAUUUAGAAGAUAGAGGUUGUUCUUUUACUUGAGACAGGGAAUUCAACUUCUUGUGCUAUGACAGUAAAAAAUGCAUUUCUCCACUGAGGUCAUCACUGCACAGACAACAGUAAAUUUUGCAUUUCCUAAUUUAUUUAUUUAUUUAUGUUUCACUUUACAACCUGAAUAACUUUCUUCUCUUCAUUGAGUAAUGUCCACAUGGAGUCCAUUUUUAUUGUGCACGUGCUCAUGGCUAACUUCAGGCACAAGGAGCACAUACAGUCCAAGAAUGGACUACAUGUGGAUAACACAUUUCAAAGACAUACGGAUUCUGAGAGAGUCCUGUUUCAUGCUGUGAAAGAUUGUAUUCUCUUGACAGAAGAUGAGAAGAGGUUUUAUAUAUUGCUAAUAUUCACUGAGCAAGAAGUAUCACCCCCUUCAGAGAAGCUACAUCACACUGGAUGUCAAGAUCAAGCAAAAAAACUCAAAGUGUAAACCUGAGUUCAUUCCUAUUGUAUACAACGAAACCACUGAGAUUGCUGAGUGUCUGCCAUCUUUCAGUGUCAGUAUAUAAAACUCACAGACCCAGUCAGAUAACUGACCUAUAUUGAACUGACAAAUUGCAACUUUGAUUUUUAGCUUUAUCUAGUAUUAAAGGUAGAAGUAAAGUGCAAUUUAAGAAAAAUAAAAUACUUAAAAU
rnacentral:lncRNA from 1 species